rnacentral:rRNA from 1 species
UGACCUCGGAUCAGGUAGGGAUACCCGCUGAACUUAAGCAUAUCAAUAAGCGGAGGAAAAAGAAACCAACAGGGAUUGCCUCAGUAACGGCGAGUGAAGCGGCAACAGCUCAAAUUUGAAAUCUGGCCCCCCCGGGGUYCGAGUUGUAAUUUGCAGAGGAUGCUUGGGGUGCGGGCGCCGGUCUAAGUUCCUUGGAACAGGACGUCAUAGAGGGUGAGAAUCCCGUAUGCGACCGGCGGCCGGCCCGUGUGAAGCUCCUUCGACGAGUCGAGUGUUUGGGAAUGCAGCUCUAAAUGGGUGGUAAAUUUUCAUCUAAGCUAAAUUACCGGCCGGAAACCGAUAGCGCACAGUAGAGUGAUCGAAAGAUGAAAAGCACUU